rnacentral:tRNA from 1 species
UGAACUGUCGCCAAGUGGUAAGGCACGACACUGUUAAUGUCGCUAUCGCAGGUUCGAGUCCUGCCAGUUCAGCCA